CACGCCGUAAACGAUGGAUACUAGGUGUAGGGGGUAUCGACCCCCCCUGUGCCGGAGUUAACGCAAUAAGUAUCCCGCCUGGGGAGUACGGCCGCAAGGCUAAAACUCAAAGGAAUUGACGGGGGCCCGCACAAGCAGCGGAGCAUGUGGUUUAAUUCGAAGCAACGCGAAGAACCUUACCAGGGCUUGACAUCCCCCUGACUGGUGCAGAGAUGCAUCUUUUCUUCGGAACAGGGGAGACAGGUGG
rnacentral:rRNA from 1 species